rnacentral:lncRNA from 1 species
UCUCAGAAGUCGAACCCUUAAGUUUUGUCCUUUUCAAGUCAAAUGAACUAUUAGAAACGAAAAAUUAUGGUUGAAGAUAGGCAUAUAAUGAGAGGAACCUCAAGUGGUUGUAAUUAGAUUCUUGUUUAAUAAAGCCUUGAUUGCAGCAUUUUAGAGAUGCCACAACCACGUUGGAGAAUAUUUGAAUGAUAAGUGAAGAUGUUACAACAAAACCACAUUUGGUAAGUCCCUGAAUAUUUUACAUCUAUAUACAACAUAAAAAGCAAGAAUUUAUAUAAGAGUGAAGAUUCACUUACUCUAAGAUUUAAACUUCCUUAUCCUAUCCAUCCAUUCUAGGGAAAUCUAAUGGUUUAAAUUUACUCACUACUUCAAACCAUUAGAUUUCCCAAGAAUUGAUGUCUAAGAUAGGUUGGAGAAAGUGGUUUGAAGAAAAUAGGAGGAGCCCUUACCAUUGGAAACCACCAUCAUUUUUUAUCAUUAAUUGUAGUUGAACAAAAUCCACUAAACAUAGAGAGUUACUUUAACGAUGAUAUUAGAGAUAAAGAAUAUUAUAUAAAGGGAACAUGUAAGAAGAUAAUGACAUAUGGACAAUGUGUUUAGAAUGAAUAUAUGCAUGACUAAACAAAAUAUUCCUAAUUUUAUUACAGACAUGGGUGUAGAAAACUUGACUAUAAUUACCUUCUUUUUUUUACAUUUCCAUGUAAGAAUGCUAUUGUAGAUUAAGUCAAAAUAUGAUCAUAUUUGGGAAGCAACAUUGGAAAUUUUAAUAGUCAAGUUUUGAUAGGUAUACACAGUUACAUGCUAAAGACAUUGUCCAUUUGUUAUUGAAUUUUUACAAGUCUGAAUACAUUUAUAGUCUUUACUUUAAUUUUGUUGUAAAGCUAAUUUUAAAUAUUGGAUAUUGUUUAAGGGAUAUUAAAUUAGUAAAAUAUUUUUGGAUUCUAGUAUGACAACAAAGUUUGUUAUUUUGGGAUGACAAAGCAUGAUAAAGCUUAUAUUUUCCUGCUUGUGCUAAUGUUAAUGGCAUGAUAAUGUUUAGGACAUUUUAUAUUUGGAAUACAUUUUACUAUAUUGUCUUCAUUUCAACAAGAGGCUAUGGCUUCUUAUCUUCCUCAUUUUGAAUAAUUUUUUUAUAAGCAAGUAAUCUGGUCCAUUCUACUUCAAAAGAAGUUCUAAAUUGGUGACACAUGAGGUGAGUUUUUAUUCUGUUUUCUAUUCAAAAUAACAUUUUUUAUUCAGGCUUUUCUAGAAGUUUGCAUUCAAUGAAAUUACUUCAACAAUACGGAAUAUCAGAAAAUUAAAUUGUUAUAAUUAGAUUCUUGUUUUAUGAAUUGAUUGCACCAUUUUGAGAAGCCACAACAAAACCACAUUGGAGACAUUUUGAAUGGUAAGUGAAGAUGUUACAAGAAAACCACAUUUAGUAAAUCCCUGAAUAUUUUACAUGUUUAUCCAACAUGAAAAACAAGAAUUUAUAUAAUAGUACUUUUUGAAGAAAAUAGGAAGAGCCCUUACCAUUCAUAUACACUAGUUUAAGUCAUGUAUAUAGCCUUAUCACUCUAUACCCCUAAAAAGUUGAAGAAUUGUCAUUCCACAUCGUUCUUGAAUACACAGAUAAAGGUUCUAUCUUGUUUUGUCAUCCCAAAUCUGACAAACUUUAACCUCAAAUUGGAAUCCACCAUCAUUUUUUAUCAUUAAUUGUUGUUGAACAAAAUCCACUAAACAUAGAGAAUUACUUUAACGAUGAUAUUAAAGAUAAAGAAUAUUAUAUAAAUGGAACGUGUAAGAAGAUAAUAACAUAUGGGCA